rnacentral:rRNA from 1 species
AUGGUUUUCAAACUCGACUUCAGGAAGGCUUUUGAUUCUGUCGCCUGGCCUGCCCUUGACAGAAUCUUGGUUGUCCGCGGCUUCUCGCAUACUUUUCGCUCCUGGAUCCAAAACAUUCUCCACACAGGCAAAACUGCUAUCCUCCUAAAUGGCAUCCCCGGCCACUGGAUACAAUGCAAGAAAGGCCUACGCCAGGGCGACCAUGCCUCUCCC